rnacentral:rRNA from 1 species
AGUGAACGCUGGCGGUAGGCCUAACACAUGCAAGUCGAACGGCAGCACAGUAAGAGCUUGCUCUUACGGGUGGCGAGUGGCGGACGGGUGAGGAAUACAUCGGAAUCUACUUUUUCGUGGGGGAUAACGUAGGGAAACUUACGCUAAUACCGCAUACGACCUACGGGUGAAAGCAGGGGAUCUUCGGACCUUGCGCGAUUGAAUGAGCCGAUGUCGGAUUAGCUAGUUGGCGGGGUAAAGGCCCACCAAGGCGACGAUCCGUAGCUGGUCUGAGAGGAUGAUCAGCCACACUGGAACUGAGACACGGUCCAGACUCCUACGGGAGGCAGCAGUGGGGAAUAUUGGACAAUGGGCGCAAGCCUGAUCCAGCCAUACCGCGUGGGGGAAGAAGGCCUUCGGGUUGUAAAGCCCUUUUGUUGGGAAAGAAAAGCAGCAGGUUAAUACCCCGCUGUUCUGACGGUACCCAAAGAAUAAGCACCGGCUAACGUCG